AUUGAAGUAGGCCAAUGGGCAGGCUUUUCAGGGUGGUGGGAGAAGAGGUACAAGGAAGCUUUCUGGCUUCCUUUUUGUAUGUGUUCCUGUUGAAUGCCGGUGACUUUGACUUCUUUUCUGUUGCUACUGAAACAGAAUAAGUGAGGUUCCGAGAUGGUAUCUGGAUGAUGAACACAGAGAGAGCUUCCAUUGUUCCUCUUCUCCUUUGUGCAGAGGAAGCCGUUGGCUGAGUUCAGAAAAAUGUUAAGUGCAUAUCCCGGACCAGUUUGGGUCUCCAGACUGAAUGAAGCCAGUCAGCUGGGAUUCUGGUUGAGUCUCAGACUCAGAAGAAACUUGUGGGAUUAAGUGGUUUUUCUGGAAAAUAUUGGCUGAAAACCACAUUCACCCCAAAUUGCUGUGUGAAUGAAACACAUGGGUUUUCUUUGUGUUUUAAAUAAUUCCAGUGGUGGCCUCAAGCUUCUAUUUCCCUGUGUUUUUAUGGAGUUAACCAAAAUAGCUUUGUACAAAUAACAAAAAGUAUGAAAAAGUAUAUGCACCUUGUCAUUGCUUUGCCAAUUGGAAAUACUCUUAAGACAUAUGAACAACAAUAAAAAGCUGUGGCUUCAGCUUUUAAAAUGCUGAAGACAUGGCUUAUUGCAGAAUCUCUGUCUUAUAUUUGGUUACUUUUCAGUUUUUUUAUUUGCCUAUUUCAAGCAUGACAUUUUUCUACUUCUCACAUAGAAAGUAUUCAGUUAUAGUCUUCAAA
rnacentral:lncRNA from 1 species